AACGAGGCCGACCUGCGGCUGAGUUACCUGCGGAGGGAUCAUUAACCUUUCAAAUCAGGGUGCGGCGCGGCCCCCGAGGAGCGGAAACAAUCCUUGGGAGGUAUGCGGGGGCUUCGAGCCCCCCAUUUACGCACGCACGACUGCCAUCCUUACUUUACGAGCACCUUCUGUUCUCCCUCGGCGGGGCAACCUGCCGUUGGAACCGAAUAAACUCUUUUUGCAUCUAGCAUUGCCUGUUCC
rnacentral:misc_RNA from 1 species